rnacentral:rRNA from 1 species
UUAGUGGCGGACGGGUGAGUAACGCGUGGAUAACCUGCCGUAUACAGGGGGAUAACACUUAGAAAUAGGUGCUAAUACCGCAUAAGCGCACGGUUCCGCAUGGAACAGUGUGAAAAACUCCGGUGGUAUACGAUGGAUCCGCGUCUGAUUAGCCAGUUGGCGGGGUAACGCCCACCAAAGCGACGAUCAGUAGCCGGCCUGAGAGGGUGAACGGCCACAUUGGGACUGAGACACGGCCCAAACUCCUACGGAAGGCAGCAG